CCUACGGGAGGCAGCAGUGAGGAAUAUUGGUCAAUGGCCGAGAGGCUGAACCAGCCAAGUCGCGUGAAGGAUGACUGCCCUACGGGUUGUAAACCUCUUUUGCAGGGGAAUAAAGAGCGGGACGUGUCCCGCCUUGUAUGUACCAUAUGAAUAAGCAUCGGCUAACUCCGUGCCAGCAGCCGCGGUAAUACGGAGGAUCCGAGCGUUAUCCGGAUUUAUUGGGUUUAAAGGGUGCGUAGGCGGAAGCUUAAGUCAGUGGUAAAAGUUUGAGGCUCAACCGUAUACCGGCGGUGAAUAUGCGUUUCUUGAGUGGGAGAGAAGUACGCGGAAUGCGUGGUGUAGCGGUGAAAUGCCUAGAUAUCACGCAGAACUCCGAUUGCGAAGGCAGCGUACCGGGGCUCAAAUGACGCUCAUGCACGAAAGCGGGGGUAUCGAACAGGAUUAGAUACCCGAGUAGUC
rnacentral:rRNA from 1 species